rnacentral:rRNA from 1 species
GACGAACGCUGGCGGCGUGCUUAACACAUGCAAGUCGAACGGAAAGGCCCUGCUUUUGUGGGGUGCUCGAGUGGCGAACGGGUGAGUAACACGUGAGUAACCUGCCCUUGACUUUGGGAUAACUUCAGGAAACUGGGGCUAAUACCGGAUAGGAGCUCCUGCUGCAUGGUGGGGGUUGGAAAGUUUCGGCGGUUGGGGAUGGACUCGCGGCUUAUCAGCUUGUUGGUGGGGUAGUGGCUUACCAAGGCUUUGACGGGUAGCCGGCCUGAGAGGGUGACCAGCCACAUUGGGACUGAGAUACGGCCCAGACUCCUACGGGAGGCAGCAGUGGGGAAUAUUGCACAAUGGGCGGAAGCCUGAUGCAGCAACGCCGCGUGCGGGAUGACGGCCUUCGGGUUGUAAACCGCUUUCGCCUGUGACGAAGCGUGAGUGACGGUAAUGGGUAAAGAAGCACCGGCUAGCUACGUG